GACGAACGCUGGCGGCGUGCUUAACACAUGCAAGUCGAACGGAAAGGCCCUGCUUUUGUGGGGUGCCCGAGUGGCGAACGGGUGAGUAACACGUGAGUAACCUGCCCUUGACUUUGGGAUAACUUCAGGAAACUGGGUCUAAUACCGGAUAGGAGCUCCUGCUGCAUGGUGGGGGUUGGAAAGUUUCGGCGGUUGGGGAUGGACUCGCGGCUUAUCAGCUUGUUGGUGGGGUAGUGGCUUACCAAGGCUUUGACGGGUAGCCGGCCUGAGAGGGUGACCGGCCACAUUGGGACUGAGAUACGGCCCAGACUCCUACGGGAGGCAGCAGUGGGGAAUAUUGCACAAUGGGCGGAAGCCUGAUGCAGAAACGCCGCGUGCGGGAUGACGGCCUUCGGGUUGUAAACCGCUUUCGCCUGUGACGAAGCGUGAGUGACGGUAAUGGGUAAAGAAGCACCGGCUAACUACGUG
rnacentral:rRNA from 1 species